AGGGUUAGGUUUAAGUAAUUAAAUGCCUAUAGGAAAUCGCCGUAAAUCCGUAAUUUGGUCGUUUUAGCUCCGAUUUUCGUGAUCUUCGUAUCUAUGUGAUCGUAGCAAAACGUAUGUUCUGUUUUUAAACAUUUUAUUUUGUUUUUGAUCUGUUGGUGUACUGUUCUAAUUGUAGCUUUGUUUGCUUUGUGUAUGUGUGGCCUUGAAUGCUUGUGUGUCGAUAAUCGAUGAUCGAGAUUAGACAGUGGGCAUUACUUCGGUGAUCAAGAUCAGAGCCUUGGAAGCAAGUAAGAUCAGCAGG
rnacentral:lncRNA from 1 species